ensembl:lncRNA
GGGGAGAGGUGGUGAUGGAGGGAUGCCAGAUUGCUUUUCCCACAGGUGCCAGGGCAGCAGAAUGCCGAAUGAACAGUGCUCCUGUCUAAUUUUACUUCCCACCUAGGCAGAUAGGAUAUGACAUUCACAUCUAUAGAGUGAAGAUGAAUGCUUGGAGUCAGCAUUUUUGGGAUUUUUUUAUUUAUUUUUUUCACAGGGCUCAAUGAUAAGUGUGAGGCUGGUUCGGGCUUGUUGACAGAACCGCCACUUGCUUAGAUGGGCCAAUGCUGGAUUUACUCUAUGUUGCUGUCAUGCCACCUCUUUGCCCUCUACAAAGGUUUGCUGUUAUUGGGUAAUGAUGUGUAGGGUUAGAGGUGACAGGCGUCAGGCGUCAGGCUAAUUAGUGGGUAAGUUAUCAGUCUAAACUUUUUUGGUAUUUUGAGAUAUCAAGUUACUUUCUAAGUAUCACAAUAAAUAGUAACUAUGCUACCUUAAUUUCUCAGAAUAUCACUUGCGUGGUUGUUCAUGUUGGACAAUACACAAUAAAUGCCUAAAAAUCAAACAGUAAAUUUUAUCCAGAAUUUUAUAUAAGAUGUAUUACUGUUUUGUUAAUUUAUUUGACUAAAUUAUAUUUUAAGACAUACUUAAUAUUUCAAUCAAAAUAUUUGAGAAUGGAAAAUAAUUUUCAAGGAAUAAAAUUAUGACUCAUUCAAUAUCGGUAUUCUUCAUCUUCACCAGCAGCACUCAAAGAGAGGAAACUUGAUUUUAGAGUAAAUGUUGAAAUUAAGUGUUUUGUGUUUCUAUUAAAAAUUAAUCUUGGAUACAGUGCUGUGAAAACGUUUUUGCUCCCAUCCUGUUUUUUUUUUUUUCACACUUGAAUGAUUCAGAUCAAACUAAUUUUAAUAGUACACAAAGAUAACCAGAGUAAAUACAAAAUGCAGUUGUGAAAUAAUGAUUUCAUUUAUUAAGGGAAAAAAAGUUGUCCAAACAUGCCUGGCCCUAAAAAAAAGUAACUGCCCACUAAAUCUAUAACUGGUUGUGCCACCCUUUACAGCAACAAUUGCAAUCAAGCAUUUGCCAUAACUGGCAAGGAGUCUUUCACGUCGCUGUGGAUUAAUUUCGGCCCACUCUUCUUUACAGAAUUGUUUUAAUUCAACCACAUUGGAGGGUUUUUGAACAUGAAUGGACUGUUUAAGGUCAUGCCACAGCAUUUCAAUCGGAUUUAAGUCCAGACUUUGACUUGGCCACUCGAAACCUUCAUUUUGUUUUCUAGAGCCAUUCUGACAGGUAGACUUGCUGGUGUGUUUGGGAUCAUCGUCCUGCUGCAUAACCCAAGUGUGCUUGAGCUUAAGGUCACAAACUGACGGCCGGACAUCUCCUUCAGGAUUUUCUGAUAGAGUGCAGAAUUUAUGGUUCCAUCAAUUAUGGCAAGAUGUCUAGGUCCUGAAGCUGCAAAGCAGCCCCGGAUCAUCACACUUAUGAAAUGCUGUGUUGGUUUUACGCCAGUUGUAAUGGGACACACACCUUCCAACUUUUGUCUCAUCAGUCUACAGAAUAUUUGCCCAAAAGUCUUUUUGUCCAAAAGUCAUGUUGUCAAGAUAUUUUUUGGCAAAUGUGAGACAAGCCUUAGAGUUCUUUUUGGUCAGCAAUGGCUUUUGCCUUGGAACUCUCCCAUGGAUGCCGUUUUUACCCAGUCUCUUUCUUAUUGUUGAAUCAUGAAAACUGACCUUAAUUGAAGCAAGUGAGGCCUGCAGUUCUUCAGAUGUUGUUCUGGGUUCUUUUAAUUUGGAUUUAACAGGAGGGGGCAAUUCAUUUUUUUUCACAUAGGGCCAGGUAGUUGUGCAGGUAGACAGCUUUUUUCCCUUAAUAAAUGAAGUCACCAUUUAAAACCUGCAUUUUGUAUUUACCUGCAUUAUCUUUGUGUUAUAUUGAAAUUUGUUUGAUGACCUGAUUCUAUUAAGUGUAACAAAUAUGCAAAACAUUUAAAAAAACAGGAAGGGGGCAAAAACCUUUUCACGGCACUGUAUCUGUUAUCUCUUUGAAAAGUAUGUUAUCUGUAUGUCUUAUGUCAGAAUAUAUAGGGGUUUAUGUAUCCAUUUUGGUGGGUAAACAUUGUGGUGAAGAAUAGAGCCUUAUGUUAGCACAUGUAGGUGAAUUAUAGCUAAUAGUUAGCUGCUACUUUUAGUGUAUUCAAAUGAAAUAGGUUUACAUUACUCAUAAAUAUUCAAAAAACCACUACUCAAUAUUCAAAAACAAACAUUUGUUGGGUUCACUUAGUUUUAUUUGUCAUGGUACCAAAUGUAAUUUCAUGCUGACUUUGUUUUAAAACAGUUUGUUUUGUUAAGAAACUCAAAACAGGAAAAAAAAAAAAAACACACUGUGUGUAUAGCAUUUAUAGUAUAAUAAUAAUAAUAAUAAUAAUAAUAAUAAUAAUAAUAAUAAUAAUAAUAAUAAUAAUAAAGUAUAAAAUUAAGCAUUUUUUCCCUUCUUUCAGGCCAGUGAAAAUUUCACCAGGCCAUGUAAAAAUGUGAACUUGGUUUGCAGAAAAGUCUUUAUUGUUGAGCCCUGGUUUGUGCUGUCUUUUAGAUUGAACUAUGAAAUCUGGGGUGUGAGAACAGAAUUUUAAAGAAUGCAUAACAUAUAACAUCUCUUCAGAGGCUGGGUGCAAUUUCCUGAAGGAGCCUCACAGGUCCCCAUUCUUGUGGUUUGAAUGCCUCUUGAAACUUCAAUAGAUGGAGUGAACCCAUUUCAAAACACCUUGGGUCAUUUCACUUCAAGCUUUGCACAAUGUGACGUAGCAAUUAUCACACAUGCUGAGUAUGAUAAAGCAGUUCUCCAUGAAUUUGUAAUAGAGCCACAUGUUGUUGAACAGCACUGCAAUUAGAGUGCAGCUGUACGGAAUGUGACGUGACGAUUGUGUCUACUCACCCAUGAACAAAGUCUCUAGAAUAUUCAUGCUGCUCAUACAUCACCACAUAUUUGUGUCAUGGAAAUCGACCAUUGCAUUUUUUGCCUGGACUUUGCGGUCCAUGGCUUGCCUUUAAUUUAAUUUGGGGUGAAAGCAUCAAAGCAAAUUACAUGCAUGGCAAGUGACAUGCAUGCUUAGAGUAUGUUCAUAAUAUAACCAUGUGUAAAAUACAUUUUAUUUUCAAAAUUGUUGUUAUUUCUUAAAGCUAUAGUUCACCCAAAAAUUAAAUUUAGCUGAAAAUGUACUCAUCCUCGGGCCAUCCAAGAAUGAGCUUUUGUUUUAGUUUUUUUCAUCAGAACAGAUUUGGAUAAAUGUAUCAUUACAUCACUCGCUCAGCAAUGGAUCCUCUGCAGUGGAUGGGUGCCGUUAAUGAGAGCCCAAACAGCUGACAAAAACAUCACAGUAUUCCACUGAUCAAUCUGAAGAAAACAAGACACCAGAUGCUCUGUAAAUAUCGAAAAUUUAACGAUGGACACACAUUGAGAUGCAGCUCAGCUGAUGUUCACAUUAUUCCACGUAUAUCUUCAAAUUUGAACAUGACCAAAUGGUGGUUAUAUUUCCAAGGCAGAAGAAGAGAGAAUCUCCUUUGUGAGAGAAGCCUCUUGUGUCACUGUGUGCUGAGGACUGUGAUAUCUCAGCAGGCCAAACACCACGUUCCUCUUCAGGAAGUAUUGAGCCCCAGUUGAUGCUCCUGGCCCCCAGGUGAACUCUGUAAAUGCCCGGUCCCUCUUUUCUUCUCUUCUAUACCUCUCUGUUCGUGUCCUUCCUCCCUUGUGUACAGACUACCUUAAAAAAAAAAAAACAACUCCAGCUAGCUUCAAAGUGUCCUUUUUGUCUGUUGAAUGAUGCUUGUUGUUUGUAGUUUUAAAUGUCUUGUCAUUUACGAUAAAAUGCAAAUGUACUGAAGUGCCAGACUAGACAUGCAUGUGUGGGUGAUUUCUUAUGCAAUAUGUCCAUCUGAGACAGUCUUGAUUUAUUAAUGUUUUGAUAUCUGGAUGAUUUUUUGAUACAUGAAGGUACUGUAUGUAUACAUAUUUUAAUUUAUAAAUUAAAAACUGGAGACAAACAACAAUAAUUGAACACUACAAUUAGCCAUAAAUGUCAAGAAUAUAGUCAAUACUACUUGAUGAUGGGCACUAGUUAUUAUAUUAUUGUCAUUUUUUCCUCAACCCUAUGUUGUUUUAACCCCUUUGUUUUUGUCCUGUAAAACACAAAUGGAGUUUUAGGCAGGAUAUCAGAGCUCCUGAUUUCCAUGCAGGGAAUCCAACAUUUGAUCUGUUAAGCUUCAAAAGGACAAAAAACAUCCAUAAAAGUGUGUGUUUUUUGAAAGUCUGACUCUUGACACAAUUUAUUGAGUUUUAAAUGCAUAUUUGUGCAGUAACAGAAUGUAUUAGUGAUGCAGUAGCAAUAUGAAUUUUGGAAUAGAUUACACAUCUGUCAGGAGAGAUAAUGUAUGUUCAGCCUGUUUUCUUAGCAGACCGUUUUAAUUCUACAACAAAUUAUUGGUCUCAUAUCCAUGUUUAGCUGUCACAUUCAUCUCGCAAGAAUUUUUACCAGACAUUUUGAUUGUCUUCAAAUUCAGUACAUCAUUCAGUCUUACUCCUUUUAUUUCAUUUAUUUAUUUUUUUAAGGAAGAGGAGUGCAGACAGGAAAGCAGAGGGGAUAGAAAGGAGAAUGUGUUCUGGGCAUGACUCAGGUUGAAUUAAAACGUUUUGUUUAACAAGUAAUGAAUUCUUGCUGAUAUGCCGUUGACAUUAUAGACUGUUAGCUUGUUAUGUUUGUGAUGGAGCAGAAGCGCAUAGAUAGAGAACACAGAUGACCCUCAUACCAACACAGAACAUUUCCCAACAUUAGGGCAUGGUUCUUGCUUGGCUGUUUUAACCUUGUAGUUUUAUUUUUUAUAACAACAACAACAACAAAAAAAUGUUCCCAGAACAUGCUUGGUGUGUCAUUGCAGAUGGUGUGGUGUAUUUACAGUAUGUCUGUGUUUUUUUUUUCCUAUAGCCCAUUGAAAGUCCUGAACGUUUAACUUAUGUUUAAGUAUCUUAAGAGCCUGAUGCAGAAAAUCCCUUGUUAAGACAAGCUUUUCUUCCAGGGGUCUUAAUAGAGGAUUAGAGAGGAAUCCUCUGGCCAGAGCAGUCAUCUGAAUUUAAUCCACCUUGCAAGAUUGCCUUUAAUUGUCAUAACCUGACAGAACGGAACAACAGAGACUGAUGCAAAGCUCUAAAUUAGCCAUAGAGAAUUAAAAUGUGUCAAGCUGGUGUAUCUGGGGCUACAAGUAUCUGCAUCUGAUAAAAUCCUUACAUAUAAAUGUUGAUAAUUAAAAACAUGGACAAUUGAACAAAUUGACCUAAUUGGUCUGAUAAAGCUUUGCAGGCUCCUACAUGUUGUGAAUACAUUGGAGAUUGUCAUGAAAUAAGCAAAUAAAUGCUGAGGAAAACAUUAUAUGUUUUCAUUCAUUUUAAUCCCUUUGUGUUUUGUUCCUCAGUGUCCUCUCUUGGCUGCUGAAGAAUUUUAUUGGAAUAUUUUAGCAUGAGCCUGGCUUCCGAAGGACUCUCCUUUAUUUGAGCCCAGCAUGUGCCAGAUAUUUAACCCUUUAACCUUUUUCUGAUUGGAGAGGAAUGCUGGCCUAUCAUAAAAUAAAAUAAAAUAGGUACUAAAUGAAAUGGUCAAAAUGACUAUAUUUAAUAGGUGGUUGGACAGCCAUGAUAAUGCACUCUAAUGUGAUGAAUAAAUGCCAUUUUAGAUGGAGUGGAUAGAAAGAGAGUGAGAUAGAGAGCUUUUUCAAGUCAAAUUACAUGAGAGGUCUGGUGUUGUUUUAAAAGCUCUUGACAGUCUAGUAAUCACAUCAUUUACUAGUGUGUUAUGUUUGUACACUUCUUGAAAAUUAAUGAUAAAUAAUUUUUUAUUUUUUUAAACUAGCAAAAUGCAUCCUUAAUUCUUCAGCGGCCAUAUGAUUUUGCCUACAUUUUAAUGAUGUAUAUGGCUGUAUGAGGACUUUGUUGUGUGCUUCUAGUUUAAUGUGCUUCAAGCCAGCAGCUUCACUUUGAACUGGUGUAAUAAUGUCAUGCUUCAUCUAAUGAGUCAUUUUAUCCUGGCAUAUUCUAAUACCACACUGUCACUUCUAAUGAGUUUCAUAAACAUUUGCUUUGAAAUUUAAUUGAAUAAACCUCUCAUUCUGAAAAUGUGAUAUAAUGCCAAACUCAUCUCAACCCUUUGAAGCACCAUAAGCAUGUGCAAACCUCUAUAUCUGUAUAUUUCUACAUACCUGUAUACUUCAUUUGAACCUUUGCUCAAUUAUUUUUGUCUCUACCAGAGAGCUGUAAAAUCAAGUGUUUAUUUUUUUCCCUGUAACCAGAUAAAAAGGGAGAGUGACAGUACUGAGGUCCCCUCUGGAUAUAAAUGUGCACCAUUUGUGAUGAGACUGACAUGAACGGUCUGUUUAACUGUGUCAGAAUUGGACAUUUUUCAUGUUUAAAAAUUAUGCCUUGCAGUGUUUAGCAUACUCUGAUGAGCACAGUUUUUCAUACAAAAAAUAUUGCAUGUAAAAAAAUAAAAUAAAAUACUCCAGUGAUUAAAGAACAUCAUUAGCCAAGAUGGUACAUUUUCCAAAUUAAUUUGGAAGUCCUGAUUGUCCAUGAACCCCAUAAGAACUUGUCACACAGUUUUAUGAAAUAUGCCACCAGGCUUUUUCCUAGUGCCACUUUCUUUUUAUAGACUUUUUUUCUUUGAAGACAAACUAAGGUUAAAUAAUUUCUUGACAGGGAAUGGAUUGACAUAAAAUUGGACAGACAUUUUUGCAUGACCUGUCCAGGCUGUAAUCAUUGCAAGCAAUCAAUUCAUUGGGAACCAAGUUAAACCGGAACUCAAUUUGGUUUGUAGCCUGUGAGAUAAAUCUGAUUCUUCUUAAAGGACUUUCUCAUGGACUUUGCAUAGAUUCUUGAGAUAAAGGUCUAAGAUAUAUUAACUGGAGAGUGUUUAAAAAAUCAUUGUCGAAGGCAGAGGAAGGUACUGAUUUCAAGGGUGUCCAAUGAUCCAUGCAAGACUUUGCACCCAGUCAUUUACUCAUUUCAACAGGUAUAGAUGACAGAAACAGUCUCCCAUCUGCUCAUUUUAGACUUUGCUGGCAGUGCACUCAGUGAAAUGACUAUCAUUAGCUUAAAUAAAUAAAUAAAUUACCACAUAUAUAAACCCUUAAAAUAUAGUUAGUGAAACCGAAAAGGCAAUUUUACUUUGAUAAUUUUAGUAUUAUAUUUUUUUUUUAGAAGAAACAAUUGUUUUUGUGUUGUUGUUGUUGUUGUUGUUGUUGUUUUAUAUGAAUUUUUACCUAAAUUCAUUACUUGAGACUUAUGUGCCCUCUAGAAGCUUGCAUGCUGCAAGUGAACGUUGCUUUAUUGUGCCAUCCCAAAGAGGCACAAAAUCACUUUCACAGACUUCAAGUAUCGUCUAAAAACGCAUCUCUUCCAUCUUUAUUUGACCCUCUAACUCUAGCACUCUCUAUUCUAAUUCUAUUCUUUUAAAAAAAACUUAUCCCUUUUAGACUUGCACUCUAUUCAUUUACUGCUUGUUACUAUUUGUUUUCUUUUCGCUAACUUUUCUAAUCUUUUUGUAUUCUAUUUGUUCUCUUUUUAUUUAUUAUACAGUUAGCAAAAGCAAAAAAGGCCUCUAACACUAGCUUGCUCUAUUCUUUUUCUAUUAUAUCGGUUUUCUUUUUAUUUGACUUGUUAUACAGUAGCACUUGCAUAUCAUUGCUCUUUUGUUGAUUUUGAUUUGCUUCCAUUGUCCUUAUUUGUACAUAAGUCGCUUUGGAUAAAAGUGUCUGCUAAAUGACUAAAUGUAAAUGAAACAAAUGGCUCAUACUGAGACAGAGCAAAAUAUUAGGCUGUCUAUUUUUUGUUCUAUUACUGUUCUAAUAUUGUUACUCCAGUCCAGUGGCGGCUCGUGGGUUUUAAAAUAGAAGAGGCACACUAAUUGUAUUGGUCUGGGAUCCCUGCCGAUUAUUAUUAUUAGUAUUAUUGUUAUUAUUUGCUUAACCACUUUAAAAUGGCUUUUUUAAAAUGGCUUCAUUUAGUCAAAAAAACGUAAAGAAAACGACACACAUACAACAAAAUAAUAUAAUUUCACUUACCUGGCCUAUCACUUGAAGCAAACAUCCAUCCCUUCUUAAAAGUCUGUGUUAAAAGAGAGCUGCCCAUUGUGCAAUUUCACUACUCAUCAUAAGUACUUGAAUCAUCAUCAGUGCAGUGCGAGACAUUCAAACUAAUAUCACGUAAUUUACAUCUCUAUGAUGAGUGGUUGAUAUCAGAAGGGAGGCUAGCCUCCUCUACGAGGUUUCUUUUCUCAACACUCCUCAGCGCUGAAAGUGAACACACGAUGCUGAUUGGCUAAUUUUUUUUUACCAACUGAGGCACGAGAGCUCAAAUCUCCCCCGGCCUCCCCUUACCCUUCUCUAUCACCUAGUGGUUGUAAUUACAUCAGCAGAUUCGGCACAUUCGCGAUAGAAAAGGAGCACUUUCCAACUUCAGUAAAAUGUUAUGGUAUUACAGCUGUGAAAUUACAAACAAAAAAAUACACAUUCUGAGACAUGAACUGAAAUGAAUUGUGAAUUUUAUUAACAUUAAAUAGUCCUUCUCCCAUUUUCACCUCAGAAUUGCCUCCCCUGACGAGCCGCCACAGCUCCAGUCCUAUUGUUGUUACCUGGUUCUUUCUUAUCACUGCUGCUCUAAAAAUAUCAAAAGCUCAAAAAGAAAAAGUAGAAGCAAGUGCAGCCAAAUGUUUUUUGCUGAUAUGGUUAAAAAGAAACCCACUUUUUUAAGCUAAGAAUACGCCAGUGUGUGUUUAGACCCUAUUCUACAGAUGUGGAAGGCGUGCAGGAGAAGCGAGGGUGAGAGAGGACUGGUACAGAGUGAAACAGUGCACUUCUCUUGGCAGAAUCAU